GCCGAAGUGGCGGAAUGGCAGACGCGCUGGAUUCAAAAUCCAGUGCCCGAAAGGGCGUGUGGGUUCAAGUCCCACCUUCGGUA
rnacentral:tRNA from 1 species